UACGGGGGGGGCAAGCGUUGUUCGGAAUUACUGGGCGUAAAGGGUCUGUAGGUGGCUCGCUAAGUCAGACGUGAAAUCCCUCAGCUUAACUGGGGAACUGCGUCUGAGACUGGCAAGCUUGAGUGCAGGAGAGGAACGCGGAAUUCCAGGUGUAGCGGUGAAAUGCGUAGAUAUCUGGAGGAACACCGGUGGCGAAGGCGGCGACCUGGUCCGAUACUGACGCUCAGGCGCGAAAGCGUGGGGAGCAAACAGG
rnacentral:rRNA from 1 species